rnacentral:rRNA from 1 species
UACGGAGGGUGCAAGCGUUAUCCGGAUUCACUGGGUUUAAAGGGUGCGUAGGUGGGUCUGUAAGUCAGUGGUGAAAUCUCCGGGCUUAACCCGGAAACUGCCAUUGAUACUAUAGGUCUUGAAUUAUCCGGAGGUAAGCGGAAUAUGUCAUGUAGCGGUGAAAUGCUUAGAUAUGACAUAGAACACCAAUUGCGAAGGCAGCUCGCUACACAUAUAUUGACUCUGAGGCACGAAAGCGUGGGGAUCAAACAGG